rnacentral:rRNA from 1 species
AACGAACGCUGGCGGCAUGCCUAAUACAUGCAAGUCGAACGAGAUCUUCGGAUCUAGUGGCGCACGGGUGCGUAACGCGUGGGAAUCUGCCCUUGGGUUCGGAAUAACUUCUGGAAACGGAAGCUAAUACCGGAUGAUGACGUAAGUCCAAAGAUUUAUCGCCCAAGGAUGAGCCCGCGUAGGAUUAGGUAGUUGGUGAGGUAAAGGCUCACCCAGCCGACGAUCCUUAGCUGGUCUGAGAGGAUGAUCAGCCACACUGGGACUGAGACACGGCCCAGACUCCUACGGGAGGCAGCAGUAGGGAAUAUUGGACAAUGGGCGAAAGCCUGAUCCAGCAAUGCCGCGUGAGUGAUGAAGGCCUUAGGGUUGUAAAGCUCUUUUACCCGGGAUGAUAAUGACAGUACCGGGAGAAUAAGCUCCGGCUAACUCCGUG